rnacentral:rRNA from 1 species
GUGAUGGGGCUAGAUCAUUGCAAUUAUUGAUCUUCAACGAGGAAUGCCUAGUAAGCGCGAGUCAUCAGCUCGCGUUGAUUACGUCCCUGCCCUUUGUACACACCGCCCGUCGCUCCUACCGAUUGGGUGUGCUGGUGAGAUGUCGGGAUUAGUGGCUGUGGGCGGUUCGCCGCCCUCUGCCGCUGAGAACCUCAUCAAACCCUCCCACCUAGAGGAAGGAGAAGUCGUAACAAGGUUCCUGUAGGUGAACCUGCAGGAGGAUCAUUG